UACGAAGGGGGCUAGCGUUGCUCGGAAUUACUGGGCGUAAAGCGCACGUAGGCGGCGAUUCAAGUUAGAUGUGAAAGGCCUGGGCUCAACCCGGGAACUGCAUUUGAUACUGAAUUGCUAGAGUCCAAGAGAGGGUAGUGGAAUUCCCAGUGUAGAUGUGAAAUUCGUAGAUAUUGGGAAGAACACCAGUGGCGAAGGCGGCUACCUGGCUUGGUACUGACGCUCAGGUGCGAAAGCGUGGGGAGCGAACAGG
rnacentral:rRNA from 1 species